rnacentral:piRNA from 1 species
UUCUGCUCUGUAGCUCAAAACCUGCCUC